rnacentral:rRNA from 1 species
GAUCAUGGCUCAGGAUGAACGCUAGCUACAGGCUUAACACAUGCAAGUCGAGGGGCAGCGGGAUUGAAGCUUGCUUCAAUUGCCGGCGACCGGCGCACGGGUGAGUAACGCGUAUCCAACCUUCCGUACACUCAGGGAUAGCCUUUCGAAAGAAAGAUUAAUACCUGAUGGUAUGAUGAGAUUGCAUGGUAUCAUCAUUAAAGAUUUAUCGGUGUACGAUGGGGAUGUCG